UGGGGAAUAUUGGACAAUGGGGGAAACCCUGAUCCAGCAACGCCGCGUGGAGGACGAAGGCCUUCGGGUCGUAAACUCCUGUCAGGUGGGACGAAAAGGUCGAGGUAAACAGCCUCGAUUCAUGACGGUACCACCAGAGGAAGCCCCGGCUAACUCCGUGCCAGCAGCCGCGGUAAUACGGAGGGGGCUAGCGUUAUUCGGAAUUACUGGGCGUAAAGGGCGCGUAGGCGGCCUGGAAAGUUGAAGGUGAAAUCCCUCGGCUCAACCGAGGAACUGCCUUCAAAACUGCCAGGCUAGAGUAUGGGAGGGGACAGUGGAAUUCCUGGUGUAGCGGUGAAAUGCGUAGAUAU
rnacentral:rRNA from 1 species